CCCCGCUCAGAGUCACACCUGGGGAGUUUUCAGGACUCUACCAGUCUUGGUUUGGGGGGGGGAGAGUCAAGCAGAGGCCUACCCAUUCCAUUCCUAGCUUGGGCAGUGGCUAGCGAGUGGUAAGCAAUCUGCUACAAGU
rnacentral:snoRNA from 1 species